rnacentral:tRNA from 1 species
GCGGGGGUGCUGGAGUGGUCAAACAGGCAGGGCUUAGGACCCUGUGGCGAAGGCCUACGCGAGUUCGAACCUCGUCCCCCGCA